rnacentral:lncRNA from 1 species
AGACCCCGCCUCCCGACCACGGGCCAAUCCCAGCCCAGCAGCACCCCCGGACCGCACGCCGACCCCGCCUCCCGGACUUCGCACCGCGGCCCCGGCCCCCGCCAGCCGCCCAGUGCAGACGCCUUCCGGCCACCACCGCCCUUGGCACCCUCUCCCCACAGGACGGCCCUGCACACCCUGGGGCUGCGGGAUCCAACCGCAGGAUAGGCUGGAAAGCGCAGCAGAAUGGUUUUCCCGGCUCACACUUGCUCCCAUGAGCCAGGACCCCCUACUUUUCUUUUUUCUUUCUUUUUCUUUUCUUUUCUUUUUUUUUUUUUUUUUGAGACAGGGUCUCGCCCUGUCGCCCAGACUAGAGUGCAGUGGCGCGAUCUCGGCUCGCUACAACCUCCGCCUCCCUGGUUCAAGCGAUUCUCCUGCCUUGAGCCACCUCAAGGUGGCUCCCGGCCUGCCCCUACCUAUGUUUGUAUUGGAAACAAGGUUUACAAGUAGUACAAUG